GGUGGAUAUUUAUUACUAACGUUCGUGGCCCCUUUCCUUGGGUAGGGGUGUAAAUCAGUCAUUAAAAAAAAGACUGAUUUAAAAAAAAAGAUUGUCAAUCAGUCUUUUCUCAAGAGGGCAUAGAUUUAAGAAAUGAGUAUAGGACCAAGGAGAUGGUUUCUGCCGUGUUCCUGUUGACCUGAUAGGAAAUCUGCAUUGGAUCGAGGCUGUCUGGGAGGGUGGAAAACUAUUCUCAUUGGAUUUUUCGGCCAAAAUCCAGACAAAAUUACGAGAGCGCGCUUGAAAUUCGCCCCUGGAAGUAUCCCUGGAAAUG